rnacentral:rRNA from 1 species
ACUCAAAUGAAUUGACGGGGAUCAGCACAAGCGGUGGAUCGUGUUCUUUAAUUCGAUGAUAAACGAAGAACCUUACCAGGGCUUGACAUCCAGGGAAGCACUACGAAAGUAGAGUGUGCCUUUUGGAACCCUGUGACAGGUGUUGCAUGGCCGUCGUCAGCUCGUGUCGUGAGAUGUUUGGUUAAGUCCAUCAACGAGCGCAACCCUUGCGAAUAGUUGUAUUUUUCUAUUCGGACUGCUCUAGUAAUAGGGAGGAAGGAGGGGAUGAUGUCAGGUCAGUAUUACCCUUACGUCCUGGGCUAGAAACACGAUACAAUGGCAAGUACAAUGCGCAGCAAAGCCGCGAGGUGGAGCAAAUCGCACCAAAGCUUGUCCCAGUUCGGAUAAGAGGCUGAAACUCGCCUCUUUGAAGCCGGAAUCGCUAGUAAUCGCAGGUCAGCAAACUGCGGUGAAUACGUCACUGAUCUUGUACACACCGCCCGU